GGUUCUCUGAAGCCGGAGUGUUUGAGGUGUUGUUCCGGACAGCUUGUAAAACAGCAGUUUUAUGUCGCAUAUUUAUGAGCAAAUUUGGAUCACAGCUGGAUCUUUCACCAAUACUAUCUUUCAUUUACCCCUACUCCUCAGUCUCUUUUCCAGCUCGCUGAUUGGCCAAUUCAAUCAACUGGGUUUUCCAAAUUCAUAAAUGAAGCUAGAUUCCAGGAAGCCCUGACACCCAUAAUGACAGUUCCUAAUUAAUGAUACAAUAUCUAAAAGUGCUUUAUCCAAUUCGAGAUUUAAACUGAUUGAAUUUUAAUAGAACUUAAUCUAAAGUUAUUUAACAUAGAAAAAACAAAUCGGUAAUACUUUAAUUGAAAUUAAAUUGUUGAGAUUCAAAAAUAAUAUCUUCUUUGAUUAUUAGUACAACCCAUAUCAUCAUCGAAGUAGCUUUGAUUUUAUUUAUAUAAGAAUAAUUUAUUUCUGAUUAGGUACAAUAGAAAAAAGUAUUAGGAACUUUUUUUUACCAAGUUUAACCGCAAAAUUUUACAUCUGCAGAGCUUAUCGCGAAAGUUACUCGCAAAAACUAUCUACGUCAGGGCCGUUCCAUCAACAUGACUUCAUUUAGAGCUUUUUUAUUGGCAUUUAUUUCAUUUGCUUUCAUUCCGCAGCUGCUGGUGAAUCAAGCAGAAGCAGGACUGGUUGCCGGGUUCCUAUUGAAGGACAUUGUGUUUUGUACAGUUAAAGUGACCAGAAUCGAAAUGAAAUUAUGCACUGGAGCUGCAAAGUGUACCAUUUUGUCAACCCGGAAAAUGGAUACAUUGUGGAAGGAAGGAGUCUUGAGCAACGUCGGCGUCGCAAAGUCUUGUGUAGAUGAACGCUUGGACUCUUUGGACCAGAAAGUGAGCAAUCAAUCUCCAUCAAACAGUAGU